rnacentral:rRNA from 1 species
AAAUUGAAGAGUUUGAUCAUGGCUCAGAUUGAACGCUGGCGGCAGGCCUAACACAUGCAAGUCGAGCGGUAGCACAGAGAGCUUGCUCUCGGGUGACGAGCGGCGGACGGGUGAGUAAUGUCUGGGAAACUGCCUGAUGGAGGGGGAUAACUACUGGAAACGGUAGCUAAUACCGCAUAAUGUCGCAAGACCAAAGUGGGGGACCUUCGGGCCUCAUGCCAUCAGAUGUGCCCAGAUGGGAUUAGCUAGUAGGUGGGGUAAUGGCUCACCUAGGCGACGAUCCCUAGCUGGUCUGAGAGGAUGACCAGCCACACUGGAACUGAGACACGGUCCAGACUCCUACGGGAGGCAGCAGUGGGGAAUAUUGCACAAUGGGCGCAAGCCUGAUGCAGCCAUGCCGCGUGUGUGAAGAAGGCCUUCGGGUUGUAAAGCACUUUCAGCGGGGGAGGAAGGCGAUAAGGUUAAUAACCUUGGCGAUUGACGUUACCCGCAGAAGAAGCACCGGCUAACUCCGUGCCAGCAGCCGCGGUAAUACGGAGGGUGCAAGCGUUAAUCGGAAUUACUGGGCGUAAAGCGCACGCAGGCGGUCUGUCAAGUCGGAUGUGAAAUCCCCGGGCUCAACCUGGGAACUGCAUUCGAAACUGGCAGGCUAGAGUCUUGUAGAGGGGGGUAGAAUUCCAGGUGUAGCGGUGAAAUGCGUAGAGAUCUGGAGGAAUACUGGUGGCGAAGGCGGCCCCCUGGACAAAGACUGACGCUCAGGUGCGAAAGCGUGGGGAGCAAACAGGAUUAGAUACCCUGGUAGUCCACGCCGUAAACGAUGUCGAUUUGGAGGUUGUGCCCUUGAGGCGUGGCUUCCGGAGCUAACGCGUUAAAUCGACCGCCUGGGGAGUACGGCCGCAAGGUUAAAACUCAAAUGAAUUGACGGGGGCCCGCACAAGCGGUGGAGCAUGUGGUUUAAUUCGAUGCAACGCGAAGAACCUUACCUGGUCUUGACAUCCACAGAACUUAGCAGAGAUGCUUUGGUGCCUUCGGGAACUGUGAGACAGGUGCUGCAUGGCUGUCGUCAGCUCGUGUUGUGAAAUGUUGGGUUAAGUCCCGCAACGAGCGCAACCCUUAUCCUUUGUUGCCAGCGGUUAGGCCGGGAACUCAAAGGAGACUGCCAGUGAUAAACUGGAGGAAGGUGGGGAUGACGUCAAGUCAUCAUGGCCCUUACGACCAGGGCUACACACGUGCUACAAUGGCAUAUACAAAGAGAAGCGACCUCGCGAGAGCAAGCGGACCUCAUAAAGUAUGUCGUAGUCCGGAUUGGAGUCUGCAACUCGACUCCAUGAAGUCGGAAUCGCUAGUAAUCGUAGAUCAGAAUGCUACGGUGAAUACGUUCCCGGGCCUUGUACACACCGCCCGUCACACCAUGGGAGUGGGUUGCAAAAGAAGUAGGUAGCUUAACCUUCGGGAGGGCGCUUACCACUUUGUGAUUCAUGACUGGGGUGAAGUCGUAACAAGGUAACCGUAGGGGAACCUGCGGUUGGAUCACCUCCUUACCUUAAAGAA